rnacentral:rRNA from 1 species
GACGAACGCUGGCGGCGUGCUUAACACAUGCAAGUCGAACGGAAAGGCCCUGCUUUUGUGGGGUGCUCGAGUGGCGAACGGGUGAGUAACACGUGAGUAACCUGCCCUUGACUUUGGGAUAACUUCAGGAAACUGGGGCUAAUACCGGAUAGGAGCUCCUGCUGCAUGGUGGGGGUUGGAAAGUUUCGGCGGUUGGGGAUGGACUCGCGGCUUAUCAGCUUGUUGGUGGGGUAGUGGCUUACCAAGGCUUUGACGGGUAGCCGGCCUGGGAGGGUGACCGGCCACAUUGGGGCUGAGAUACGGCCCAGACUCCUACGGGAGGCAGCAGUGGGGAAUAUUGCACAAUGGGCGGAAGCCUGAUGCAGCAACGCCGCGUGCGGGAUGACGGCCUUCGGGUUGUAAACCGCUUUCGCCUGUGACGAAGCGUGAGUGACGGUAAUGGGUAAAGAAGCACCGGCUAACUACGUG